AUGAACGCUAGCUACAGGCUUAACACAUGCAAGUCGAGGGGCAGCAUGGUCUUAGCUUGCUAAGGCCGAUGGCGACCGGCGCACGGGUGAGUAACACGUAUCCAACCUGCCGUCUACUCUUGGACAGCCUUCUGAAAGGAAGAUUAAUACAAGAUGGCAUCAUGAGUCCGCAUGUUCACAUGAUUAAAGGUAUUCCGGUAGACGAUGGGGAUGCGUUCCAUUAGAUAGUAGGCGGGGUAACGGCCCACCUAGUCUUCGAUGGAUAGGGGUUCUGAGAGGAAGGUCCCCCACAUUGGAACUGAGACACGGUCCAAACUCCUACGGGAGGCAGCAGUGAGGAAUAUUGGUCAAUGGGCGAGAGCCUGAACCAGCCAAGUAGCGUGAAGGAUGACUGCCCUAUGGGUUGUAAACUUCUUUUAUAAAGGAAUAAAGUCGGGUAUGGAUACCCGUUUGCAUGUACUUUAUGAAUAAGGAUCGGCUAACUCCGUGCCAGCAGCCGCGGUAAUACGGAGGAUCCGAGCGUUAUCCGGAUUUAUUGGGUUUAAAGGGAGCGUAGAUGGAUGUUUAAGUCAGUUGUGAAAGUUUGCGGCUCAACCGUAAAAUUGCAGUUGAUACUGGAUAUCUUGAGUGCAGUUGAGGCAGGCGGAAUUCGUGGUGUAGCGGUGAAAUGCUUAGAUAUCACGAAGAACUCCGAUUGCGAAGGCAGCCUGCUAAGCUGCAACUGACAUUGAGGCUCGAAAGUGUGGGUAUCAAACAGGAUUAGAUACCCUGGUAGUCCACACGGUAAACGAUGAAUACUCGCUGUUUGCGAUAUACGGCAAGCGGCCAAGCGAAAGCGUUAAGUAUUCCACCUGGGGAGUACGCCGGCAACGGUGAAACUCAAAGGAAUUGACGGGGGCCCGCACAAGCGGUGGAGUAUGUGGUUUAAUUCGAAGCAACGCGAAGAACCUUACCAGGCCUUGACAUCCCUUGCAGAGGUAUAGAGAUAUAUCCGAGGUUAUCAAGGAGACAGGUGGUGCAUGGUUGUCGUCAGCUCGUGUCGUGAGGUGUCGGCUUAAGUGCCAUAACGAGCGCAACCCUUGUUGUCAGUUACUAACAGGUUCUGCUGAGGACUCUGACAAGACUGCCAUCGUAAGAUGUGAGGAAGGUGGGGAUGACGUCAAAUCAGCACGGCCCUUACGUCCGGGGCUACACACGUGUUACAAUGGGGGGUACAGAGGGCCGCUACCACGCGAGUGGAUGCCAAUCCCAAAAACCUCUCUCAGUUCGGACUGGAGUCUGCAACCCGACUCCACGAAGCUGGAUUCGCUAGUAAUCGCGCAUCAGCCACGGCGCGGUGAAUACGUUCCCGGGCCUUGUACACACCGCCCGUCAAGCCAUGGGAGCCGGGGGUACCUGAAGUGCGUAACCGCGAGGAGCGCCCUAGGGUAAAACUGGUGACUGGGGCU
rnacentral:rRNA from 1 species